UCAUACGGGAGGCAGCAGUGGGGAAUAUUGCACAAUGGGGGAAACCCUGAUGCAGCCAUGCCGCGUGUGUGAAGAAGGCCUUCGGGUUGUAAAGCACUUUCAGUUGUGAGGAAAGGUUGGUAGUUAAUACCUGCCAGCUGUGACGUUAACAACAGAAGAAGCACCGGCUAACUCCGUGCCAGCAGCCGCGGUAAUACGGAGGGUGCGAGCGUUAAUCGGAAUUACUGGGCGUAAAGCGCACGCAGGCGGUUUGUUAAGCUAGAUGUGAAAGCCCCGGGCUCAACCUGGGAUGGUCAUUUAGAACUGGCAGACUAGAGUCUUGGAGAGGGGAGUGGAAUUCCAGGUGUAGCGGUGAAAUGCGUAAAUAUCUGGAGGAACAUCAGUGGCGAAGGCGGCUCCCUGGCCAAAGACUGACGCUCAUGUGCGA
rnacentral:rRNA from 1 species